UGACCGCCUUGCCAGCGCCCCGCAGCCUCCUCCUUUUCCUCCAGGUGCUGUGGCUCGCCCUGGCUCAGAUCAGAGGUCCACCAGGGGAGCCGGGUCUUCCAGGGCCACCAGGGCCACCAGGAGUGCCUGGUUCGGAUGGCAUCGACGGUGACAAGGGGCCUCCAGGUAAAGUUGGUCCUCCGGGAUCCAAAGGAGAGCCUGGCAAACCGGGGCCAGAUGGUCCAGAUGGGAAGCCUGGCAUUGAUGGUUUAAUGGGAGCCAAGGGAGAGCCUGGCCCCAUGGGAACCCCUGGAAUCAAGGGCCAGCCUGGGCUCCCAGGGCCCCCUGGCCUGCCGGGCCCUGGUUUUGCUGGACCUCCGGGACCACCUGGACCUGUUGGCCUCCCUGGUGAGAUUGGAACCCCAGGCCCCAAGGGGGAUCCAGGGCCAGAGGGACCAUCAGGGCCCCCAGGACCCCCUGGGAAACCAGGCCGACCAGGAACCAUCCAGGGCCUGGAAGGGAGUGCGGAUUUCUUGUGUCCAACCAACUGUCCUGCUGGUGUGAAAGGUCCCCAGGGUCUGCAAGGAGUGAAGGGCCAUCCAGGCAAACGGGGGAUUCUGGGUGAUCCUGGUCGCCAGGGGAAGCCGGGCCCCAAGGGAGAUGUGGGUGCCUCUGGAGAACAAGGUAUCCCUGGACCACCGGGUCCCCAAGGCAUCAGGGGCUACCCAGGCAUGGCAGGACCCAAGGGAGAGAUGGGUCCUCGUGGAUAUAAAGGCAUGGUGGGCUCCAUCGGGGCUGCUGGGCCACCGGGUGAAGAGGGCCCAAGGGGGCCACCAGGCCGAGCGGGUGAGAAGGGGGAUGUGGGGAGCCAAGGUGCCCGAGGACCCCAGGGGAUAACAGGCCCAAAGGGAACAACUGUAAGUGCUCAGAGUCCAGGCCCUGGCCCUGACCAGUUUGUCUGCAUCCCUACAUGGAGAGGAAACUGGGGUCUAGACUGAACUCUGUGGUGGGCUGCUAGCUCUGU
rnacentral:lncRNA from 1 species